UGGCUCCGGGAUCAAUUAAGUAAAAGCAGGCUGACCAAAAAUUAAUAACGUACCAAUGAUGACAUCUAGAGAAGUACGACCCUCCUGCUGGGUCAUAGCAUGCAGUCUAGCGCGAGUCAUGGGACGUCCACGCUGACCACUUCCCCGCUGAGAGCCACCUCUGACCGAAGCACUGCCCUGGGCACCACUACUAGAGCCUCCAGCCGAAGACUGACCAACAGGCUGAGUAGGGGUGGGAGUGGUCCUCUGAGCCAACAAUGGACAAUCUCUCCUGAAGUGGUCCUGACCACCACACUCAAAGCACCCAGAAAAUUGCUGCUGCUGCCCAUAUGAAAAAGUCUGGCUACCGGAUGACCCACCAUGGAAACUGCCACCCGAACCAUACUACCUAGACUGCUGCCUACCCAACUGACUCCUAGCAGGUCUCUUGUGACGUCCUCUAACCCUGAACCGAGAAUUAGAACCUGAUCCCCCACUACUGCCACUACCAGCUGAAGAACCAGAAGCGGAUGAUGAAGCAGCUUUCUUGGAUGGACCCUGACUGGGGCCACCGAAAUCUCGUGGCCGAGCACUAUAAAUCCCCAUAGACUCAAUGGCCAUGGCUGCAUGAACAGCUUCAGGGAAAGUCGGGUAAUAAACACCCGUCAUCUUAUCUGCAAACACUCCACCAAGUGCCCCAAGAAAAGAGUCUUAAACUGCUCCCACGACAUAUUCAGAGCAUCCUCAACAUUCCUGCUAGCGAGCGACCACCAGUGAUGUGCUGAAUCAUCCAGGAAAGUCACUGCCAUCUUCACCUUCCUUUCUUCUGGCAAAUCUGUGCUCGCAAAAGCCUUUUCCAUUUUGUCUACCCAAGUAUAAGCAUCAAGGGGUCCCUUGGCACCCUUGAACUCUCUUGCUCCAGCCUCAUAAACUUCUCUCCUCUUCACUGUAUGAGGGUGUGGAGCUCGAUCUAUAACAUCCCUCAGCAUAUUUCCAAUAUCAUCAACCAGUCCCCUGACCUCAUUGCCCUCAUCGGCAUUGGUCGAAGUAGCCACAUGGGGUUGCCGUAGGCGCCUAGGAGGCAUAGUACCUGAGGAAGAAGAAAUUUAGUAGUCCAUAAACAAGACUAACACAACAAUCAUAUAUACCCAAUAACACAUAGCAUCAAAAGCAUAAAAUGCCAAUGCAUCCGCCGCGGUCGGAUCAUCACUCUAUAGACACUACGUGCUACUUAGGCAAAUAUGAUAGUGACAAGGAAGCAGGAAAAGGAAACCUAUAGCUCUGAUACCAACUGACACGACCCACCCCGAAUUUCACCCUGAAACCCGGAGUAAGUCGUGCGGGGACCACCUCCAAGGAAAAUUUACUGAAAAGAUUGAGAAAAUCUCCCUUGCGGAUGGACAACCCUAACUCGAAAAUUCCAAAUUACACUCUUAAUACAACACGUCCAAACAUCACAUAAUUAUCCUUCAGAAAUUCUACACAUAAUAUACAAUAAUCUCAAAGUAUUCAGAGCUACUAAACACUAGCGGAAGCAAGAAAACAUGAGUAGGUUGAACAGGUAACCUACUGACGAAAACUGGUAGAAAUGCGGGUGACUAUGCCUCGCCUCCUACUAGAUCCAACCCGAAGUCUGCAAACUGGGCAAUUUAAAACGAAGGGCCCAGGAGAAAACAUUUAAUAACGUUAGAGUGAGUGGACAAAAAUAAAAUAAUAAAUAAAAUAUUUAUGUUUCCCCAAAUUAAUUUCUAAAGAAAAAUCGAAUGCAUGCGCAAGCGAUAAAACUUUUAUCUCAUAAAAUAUCGAGCCUCUCAGACUCUAUAAUAUAUGUAUGUAUUUACACUCGUCCAUACUCCCUAUAUAAAUUCAUGGGUCUAUAUAGGGCUACUACGCUCACGUCCAACGCUCACGUCACGCCUUAAUGCGGUGCUACACUACGCCAUCAAGGUGGACAGACGGGUGUAUAAAUAUGUGUCUAUACCCCCUAUAUGAAUUAAACACUCAAAUAGGGCUACUACGCUCACGUCACACCAUAACGCGGCUAUAUGCUACGCCAUUAAGGUGGACAGACACAUAUGGCUAGCUAGCAUUUUAUAUACAUACUCUCUCAUAAAUACAUAUUUAUAUCCACCGAAAAUCCCAUUUUCGGUAACUCUCCAAGAGAAAUAAAAUCGUCAAAAUAAAAUGACGUCAAAAUAUUCCGCAACAUUAAUUGUUCAAUCAUGAACUAUAGCAUGCAUUUAUUUAAAAUAAACGUCCACUCACAAAUUAGGUCUAAGCCUGAUGUUGAUCUGGGGCCUCGUCUCCUCGAGCCUCCUCACGUCCUGUUCCAAAUAUAAUAUUAAUUUCCCAACUAACAAUCCAAUAUUUAAUGAAAAUAGGCAAAAUUACCCGAGAGCCAUAAAUACGCUCAUCAUUGCCUAACUUCGAUAUUCUUAAAUCGGAACGAUCCGAACUUAAAUAUCAUCCUCGACAGUCGUAAAUACAACCUCCCCAAAAUAUGACUUAAAUCCUACGGCCGGAUUCUACAUUAAUUAACCGCCAAAAAUACCAAACUUCGGAAAUUCACAAACCUAUCCAAAUCUCAUCCAAAAAUUUCAUAAAUCACAUCAAUAUAAUCCCCUUAAUAUUCCACAUUUAAAACCCUAAAAGUCUCCUAAACCGGCGGCGGCGGCGCCGGCAGCGGCGGCCGGAGGCCAAUCCCGGCGACUAGCACAAACACCAAUUCCAAGCCUAACUAGGGUAAUCGACUAAAAACAUCCUAAAAGCCCUAGAAAUUUCAACUCCAUAUUUCUCCUUACCUAGCUCAAGAGAGGGUGAGUCCCUUCAGGGCAAGGCUGCUGGGUUGGAGGGCUACAAAACCGUACCAAGCUUGCCGGAUGGGUGGCCGGAGGAGGGAGUUCCGGCGAAAAGCUUCCCGGCGUCUCCGGCGAGUUUUCUCUUCUUCCGGCGGGCUAACGGCUCGGGGGCUAGGCCGGGGAGGGAGAGGAGGAGAUGGGGGUCCGAACUGGGGUGGAGCGGCGGCAACUGGUGGCCGGACGGCAGCAGGAGGACAGCUGGAAAACCGGCAGCGGGAGGAGGAAAAAUUCGGGAAGAGAAAGAGAGAAGAAGAGAAAGAGAGGAAAUGGGUUGGGCCUCUCCAACCGGUCCAACUCCACUAAUAUACCCAACUCCCACAAAAUAAAACACCCCGAAAAAAUAAUAUCCGAUUAAAAAUUACCUUUUACUAGCUAAAAUUUACUAUUUUUACCGUCGUCGAAAUUUUCUCCUACGAAUAAUCCUCCGCACAUUAUCGUCCCCGAAACCUCUCUAAGGACCAAUUAAACUAUUAACUCAAUGACGAAGACGGUAAAAUUCUUAUUAUAAUCCGCAUAACUCUUCUGCCUACUUUGAGUAGUCUUGAGUCUUUCUCUAACCACUUUAAUCUUCUCAUUCGUAACAUGUAUUAACUCUGGGCCACAAAGCUCUUUUUCCCCCACUUCAUUCCAACACAAAGGCGUACGACACUGCCUCCCAUAAAGAGCCUCAAAGGGAGCCAUACCAAUGCUAGAAUGAUAGCUAUUAUUAUAGGCAAAUUCCAUCAAAGAUAGGUUUUUAUCCCAACUCCCUCUGAACUGCAUGGCACAAGCCCUCAACAUAUCCUCCAAAGUCUGAAUAGUCCUCUAGGACUGCCCAUCAGUCUGAGGAUGAAAAACAGUGCUGAAGAGUAAUUGGGUACCUAAAACUGCCUGAAGAGCUCCCCAGAAUUUAGAAGCAACUCGAGGAUCCCGAUCUGACACUAUUGAUACAGGAACACCAUGAAGCCUCACAAUUUCAUUCACAUAAAGCUCCGCCAAUUUAUCCAAUUUAUACUUCUUUCCCACUGGCAAGAAAUGUGCAGACUUGGUGAGUGUCACAUCCCGACCCUUAUAUUUUUACCUUAUUUACUAGCGUGAUUAUAAUAAGAAUUUUACCGUCCCCGUCAUUGAGUUAAUAGUUUAAUUGGUCCCUAGAGGUAUUUUUAAGAGAUAAUUAGUUUCGGGGAAUUGUUCGUGGGAGAAAAUAUGACGACGGUAAAAAUGGUAAAUUUUAGCUAGUAAAAGGUAAUUUUUAUUCGGGUAUUAUUUUUCGAGGUGUUUUAUUUUUGGGUUUGGGUUGUUUAAAAGGAUGGACCGGUUUGGGGUGUGAGGCCCAAACCCAGUUUUUUUUUCUUCUUUCUUUUUCUUCCUCUCUUCUUCCCGGUUUCCUCCCGAGCCUCUCCCCCGCCGGAAACUUCUCGCCGCCCGACCGCCUCCGUCCGGCCGCCCCAGACCGCCGCACCGGUCCCAAUCGAUAGGUUAGUGGAUGGUCAGCAAAAUGGUAAAUUUUAGCUAGUAAAGAUGGUUCGUGUUCCGCUUCUUUGUGAGUUGCGAGCUACAGGGAGUGGGAUUUUGUCAGUGGAUGAGGUUGGUGCUUUNNNNNNNNNNNNNNNNNNNNCUCUACUCNCUNUCUNUCUCUCUCUCUCUCUCUCUCUCUCUCUCUCUCUCUCUCUCUCUCUCUCUCUCUCUCUAUUUUGUUUUAAGCUUUCCGGCCAGGCCGCCGAAAUUACUAACGAAUAUUAAAGAUUCAAUUUGAAGUCGCUGCAUGUUUUUAGUUGGUCAGUUUAAGUACUAGUUCAACACUAGUUAAUAUCGAACUCCUUUGGCAUAUCUAGUCUCAUAAUCACAUGGCAUCUCUGACCAGACAGUUAGUUCAAACUAGCUAAUAAUUAAAGUACUGUAUAACUACUGUAGCCUAAGACUGCCGUAUAACUCCUAUAAUUAAUAUGAAGCCGUCUUGUUUUUCCUAUUUAAUUUGCAGGUAGCAUAUCUUCUUCUUGCCUUCUGAUUCUUCUUUUUUACUGCUUAGUCUUCAUAGAUCAUUAGCAUAUAUAUCUUGUUGUUGUUGUUGCUGUUGAAGAGAUCGAUGGGUAUGAAGCGUUCAUAUUUCUUAGGGUUCAUCCGCAUUUUUUGAACCAACACAUAAUCAAAUUUAACCAUAAUCAAUAAUCAUCGUUCAUGAUAAUGGUGGCUCCUUGCUAUUAUAAUAUUUAUUAUAGAGGGCGGAUCCGUGACAUACAAAAUUAUAACCAAAAUUAUAACCAGAAUAUGGUCCAUUAGAUUUAAUAGCAAUUAACGGCUGAGAUACAUUACUAAAACUAAAUCAUUUUCUUUUAUUCUCAUUUUCUUUUAAUCAAUUUAAGAUUCCUAUCUAUUAAAUACAUAAUCAUAAUUGAUUAUAACUAUUCUGAUAUGGAAUACAAUCAAAAGACUUAUUGGUUUCCUAUUGAAACUCAUCUAUUAGAAAGGAAAAACUUAUUACUCAAUUAUGAGAUCUUAUUGCUGUUUGAAUUGUGAAAAUACUUCUUGUCAUUGUUGCAAAAAAGAAAAAAAAUUAAACUCAACGUACAAACAAUUAAAAUGAAAGUCAAUUGGUAUAUCAAAGUGCUUGAUUAUCUAUAGGGACGCAGCUCCAGAGUCCAAAGCCUAUCAGUAGGUCUUCCAAGCAAUUUUGGUCCAUUCCCACACAUCCUAUAAAGAAGAUUAAAGCACAUUAGUUCUCAACGAUGUUAACACAAGUAUCAUGAAUUUCUACCAAUUGUUCUACUAACACAACAUUUUAUUUUUCACUUCAGUAGAAUCAGACACAUAGUAAUGAAAAAGGUUACUUACAAGUUAUACGUAGGUCAUUGAAUCUUUCUUUCUGAAUUCAGAGAGCAAGUUUUCUUNNNNNNNNNNNNNNNNNNNNCCAAAAAGAAAUGAAGAGUUGAAGAGUGAGAUUAUGGAGGAAGCUCAUAGCUCUGCAUAUGCUGCUCAUCCGGGUAGCACAAAAAUGUAUCGGAUUUUGAAGGAUUAUUAUUGGUGGCCAAACAUGAAGAGGGAAAUUGCAGCUUAUGUGAGUAGAUGUCUGAUUUGUCAGCAAGUCAAGGCUGAAAGGCAGAAGCCUUCUGGGUUGCUGGAGCCGUUGCCUAUUCCAGUGUGGAAGUGGGACCACAUCACCAUGGAUUUUGUUUUUAGCUUACCUCGUACCCGUGAUGGGCAUGACGGUAUUUGGGUGAUUGUGGAUAGACUCACCAAGUCUGCACAUUUCUUGCCAGUGGGAAAGAAGUAUAAAUUGGAUAAAUUGGCGGAGCUUUAUGUGAAUGAAAUUGUGAGGCUUCAUGGUGUUCCUGAAUCAAUAGUGUCAGAUCGGGAUCCUCGAUUUGCUUUUAAAUUUUGGGGAGCUCUUCAGGCAGCUUUAGGUACCCAAUUACUCUUCAGUACUGCUUUUCAUCCUCAGACUGAUGGGCAGUCCGAGAGGACUAUUCAGACUUUGGAGGAUAUGUUGAGGGCUGGUGCCAUGCAGUUCAGAGGUAGUUGGGAUAAAAACCUAUCUUUGAUGGAAUUUGCCUAUAAUAAUAGCUAUCAUUCUAGCAUUGGUAUGGCGCCCUUUGAAGCUCUUUAUGGGAGGCAGUGUCGUACGCCUUUGUGUUGGAAUGAAGUGGGGGAAAAAGAGCUUUGUGGCCCGGAGUUAAUCCAUGUUACGAAUGAGAAGAUUAAAGUGGUUAGAGAUAGACUCAAGACUGCUCAAAGUAGGCAGAAGAGUUAUGCGGAUAUUCGUAGGAGAGAUCUUGAAUUUCAAGUGGGUGAUUGGGUGUUCCUGAAAUUAUCUCCUUGGAAAGGGGUUGUGCGCUUCGGGAAGCGUGGGAAGCUUAGCCCGAGGUAUAUUAGCCCUUAUGAGAUAAUACAGCAAGUUGGCUCACUUGCUUAUCGAUUAGCCUUGCCUCCAGAGUUAGCUAGGAUACAUAAUGUGUUUCAUGUAUCCAUGCUUCGCAAGUAUAUUGCCGAUCCUUCUCAUGUGCUGCAAGAGCAGCCGAUUAGUUUGACGAGAGACUUGUCCUAUGAAGAGGAACCGGUUCAGAUUCUCGACCGAAAGGAGCAAGUGCUUAGGAACAAGACAAUCCCGCUUGUCAAGGUGCUUUGGAGGAGUCAUCAAGUAGAAGAAGCUACUUGGGAAUCAGAGGAGCAAAUGAUGCAGCAGUAUCCCUAUAUCUUCGGAUGUCAGGUACGUAAAUUUCGAGGACGAAAUUUUUAUAAGGAGGGGAGAAUUGUCACAUCCCGACCCUUAUAUUUUUACCUUAUUUACUAGCGUGAUUAUAAUAAGAAUUUUACCGUCCCCGUCAUUGAGUUAAUAGUUUAAUUGGUCCCUAGAGGUAUUUUUAAGAGAUAAUUAGUUUCGGGGAAUUGUUCGUGGGAGAAAAUAUGACGACGGUAAAAAUUGUAAAUUUUAGCUAGUAAAAGGUAAUUUUUAUUCGGAUAUUAUUUUUCGAGGUGUUUUAUUUUUGGGUUUGGGUUGUUUAAAAGGAUGGACCGGUUUGGGGUGUGAGGCCCAAACCCAGUUUUUUUUUCUUCUUUCUUUUUCUUCCUCUCUUCUUCCCGGUUUCCUCCCGAGCCUCUGCCCCGCCGGAAACUUCUCGCCGCCCGACCGCCGCCGUCCGGCCGCCCCAGACCGCCGCACCGGUCCCAAUCGAUCGGUCUCCGACCCAGCUAUCUUCCAGGACCGGUGACAGCCCCCCUAGCGCCGCCGUGAGAGAGCGGUGCCGCCCGAAAGGUUAGGCUGCCCCGAACUUCCGGUCGCCGGAACUCCCUCCUCCGGCCACCAAUCGGGGCAAGCUUGGUACGGUUUUAUAGCCCUCCUCCCGUGCAGCAACCCCUCCAAUCAGCCUACUCCCUCUUGAGCUAGGUAAGGAGAAAUGUGGAGUUGAAAUUUCUAGGGCUUUUAGGAUGUUUUUGUUCGAUUAGCAUAGUUAGGCUUGGAAUUGGGUGAUGUGUUGGUCAGGAAAGUUGUAGAGCAUGAUGAGGAGAUUAUUUUGUCAAAAUUUCAUAGGUUUUGGAAGUCGCCGGAAUUGGCCUCCGGCCGCCGCCGCCGGUUAAGAGAUUUUUAGGGUUUUAAGUGUGGAAUAUUAAGGGGAGUAUAUUGAUGUGAUUUAUGGAAUUUUUGGAUGAGAUUUGGAUAGGUUUGUGAAUUUCUGAAGUUUGGUAUUUUUGGCGGUUAAUUAAUGUAGAAUCCGGCCGUAGGAUUUAAGUCGUAUUUUAGGGAGGUUGUAUUUACGACUGUUGAGUAUGAUAUUUAAGUUCGGAUCGUUCCGAUUUAAGAAUAUCGAAGUUAGGCGAGAAUGAGCGUGGUUACGGCUCAUAAUUAUUUUGCCUAUUUUUGAGUACGUUCUGGAUUUUCGGUUGAGAAAUUAAUUUUAUAUUUGGAACAAGACGUGAGGAGGCUCGAGCAGACGAGGCCCCAGAUCGACAUCAGGCUUAGACCUAAUUUGUGAGUGGACGUUUAUUUUAAAUAAAUGCAUGCUAUAGUUCAUGGUUGAACAAUUAAUGUUGCGGAAUAUUUUAACGUUAUUUUAAUUUGACGAUUUUUAUUUCUCUUGGAGAGUUACCGAAAAUGGGAUUUUCGGUGGAUAUAAAUAUGUAUUUAUGAGAGAGUAUGUAUAUAAAUGCUAGCUAGCCAUAUGUGUCUGUUCACCUUAAUGGCGUAGCAUAUAGCCGCAUUAUGGUGUGACGUGAGCGUUGGACGUAAGUGUAGUAGCCCUAUUUGAGUGUUUAAUUCAUAUAGGGGGUAUGGACACAUAUUUAUACACCCGUCUGUCCACCUUGAUGGCGUAGUGUAGCACNNNNNNNNNNNNNNNNNNNNAUUUCUGCCAGUUUUCGUCAGUAGGUUACCUGUUCAACCUACUCGUGUUUUCUUGCUUCCGCUAGUGUUUAGGAGCUCUGAAUACUUUGGGAUUAUUGUAUUUUAUUUGUAGAAUUUCUGAAAGUUAAUUAUGUCAUGUUUGGACGUGUUGAAUUAAGAGUGUAACUUGGAAUUUUCGAGUUAGGGUUGUCCAUCUGCAAGGGAGAUUUUCUUAAUCUUUUCAGUAAAUUUUCCUUGGAGGUGGUCCCUGCACGACUUACUCCGGGUUUCAGGGUGAAAUUCGGGGUGGGUCGUGUCAGUGAGUCUAUCCACAAUCACCCAAAUACCGUCUUGCUCAUCACGGGUACGAGGUAAACUAAAAACAAAAUCCAUGGGUGAUGUGGUCCCACUUCCACACUGGAAUAGGCAACGGCUCAAGCAAUCCAGAAGGCUUCUGCCUUUCAGCUUUUACUUGCUGACAAACCAGACAUCUACUCACAUAAGCUGCAAUUUCCCUCUUUAUGUUUGGCCAUUAAUAAUAAUCCUUCAAAAUCCGAUACAUUUUUGUGCGACCCGGAUGAGCAGCAUAUGCAAAGCUAUGAGCUUCCUCCAUAAUCUCACUCUUCAAGUCUUCAUUUCUUUUUGGAACACAUAGCCGCUUUUUAACCAAUAGAGUCCCAUCUCUUCUAACUGAAAAAUGAUCGGCUGCGGCUCCAUUCGAAGCUCUUUCCAUCAAUCGAACUAUGGAAGAAUCAUUAUACUGUGCUUCCCGCACUCUAUCAACCAAAACUGGCCUCACAUGAAAACUGGCUAUCAAAGCACCAACCUUAUCCACUGACAAAUCCACUCCUGUAGCUCGCAACUCACAAAGAAGCGGAACACGAACCAUCUUUAUAUGAGAUAAAGAUAUGGAGGGAUUUCGACUAAGAGCAUCAGCUACCACAUUAGCUUUUCCAGGAUGAUGCUCAAUAGUGCAAUCAUAAUCACUGAUUAACUCCAUCCAUCUUCUCUGUCUCAUAUUAAGCUCUCUUUGAGUGAACACAUACCGAAGACUCUUGUGAUCGGUAAAUAUCUGACACUUGGCUCCAUAAAGAUAGUGUCUCCACAACUUGAGAGCAAAAACUACCGCUGCAAGCUCCAGAUCAUGAGUAGGAUAAUUCCCCUCAUGCGGUUUCAAUUGCCUAGAAGCGUAGGCAAUAACUCGAUCAUGCUGCAUCAAAACUCCACCUAGACCACGNNNNNN
rnacentral:lncRNA from 1 species